GUUCUAUAUGCAUUACAAGCUUCAGGUAAGAUGAUUGCCGGAGUUUCCUUGUUGAACUACCAUAGGUGUUCUUAUGUUGUUAUAGAUUUCAUAGGAGAUGCAUUUUCGCACCUAGCAAGUGAACAAGUUUGCCUCACUUGGUCUAGAACGAGCUCCCCUCGGGUCAAGAGUGCAUCGAGCAAAUCCAAAAACCAGUUAGGUACAUAAAAGGCCAUCACAUUGUGGAGCUCUUCAUCUGCUUGACGGACCUUCAUUGAAUAGUCUUUUUUUUAAAGUCUUCCAUUAUAGAUUUUAGUUUUUACUAUCAGGUUUGCGAGUCAGAUAAAUAAUGUUUCAAAUUACAUCAUGGUUGUUUUUACUAUCUUUUGAUUCUUAAAUGAAUAUGGCUUAAAUAUAUUUUAUUUUAUUUUAUU